rnacentral:rRNA from 1 species
GUGAUCCCAGAUUCUACGAGCACAUCGAUUCGCAUGAGCAAGUCUGAUCGGACAGCCCGUGAUGAUGAGCUUCGGUCGUAACUCGUUGUACGAGAACAGCGUUAAGUGAUAACGCUGCACUUGACCGUUACCUUACCAGAAGGCCACGGCUACUUACUGUGCAGCAGCCGCGUAAUAACGAUAGUUGGCAAAGCGUUAUCGGAUUAUCUGGGCGUAAAGCGCGCGGCAGUUGGUUUCUUUAAAGUUUUGAAUGUUGAAGGCCCCACGGCUCAAACCCGUGAAGGGUCAUUCUGAAACUUGGGAGGACUUGAGAUGUCAAGAAGAGGAAAGUUGGAAUUUCCAUGGUGUAGCGGUGAAAAUGCGUAAGAUGAUAUUGAGAGGAACACCAGUUGGCGGAAGGGGACUUUUUGGUUUGUUAAUGACAAUGAGGGCGCGAAAGCGUGGGGAGCAAACAGGAUUAGAUAACCUGGUAGUUCACGCCGUAAACGAUGAGUGUAAACGUUAGGAGGGUUUCGCCCUUUUGGGGCGAAAUUAAACCCUUAAGCAAUUCGCCUGGGGGGUUCGGCCGCAAGGGUGAAAUUUAAAGGAAUUGACGGGGGCCCGGCCAAGGGGUGGAGCCUGUGGUUUAAUUUGAAGGAAACGGAAAGACCUUUCCCGGUUUUGAAAUCCUUUGACAAACCUAGGGAUUAGGGUUUUCCUUCGGGAGCAGAGUGACAGGUUGUGCCAGGGUGUUGUCAGGUUGUGUUCUGAAAAUUUGGGGUAAGUUCCGCAAAGGGGGCCACCCCUGAUUUUUGUUGCCCUCCUUUAAGUGGGCCAUUUUAGGGGGACUCCCGUGACAAACCCGAAGAAAGGGGGGGAGAAGUCCAAUUCAUCAUCCCCCUAUGACCUUGGGUACACCACGUGUUCCAAUGGCGGUUCAAAGAGGUUCCAGGCCCGGGAGGUGGGGUUAUUUCCAUAAACCCUUUUCAAUUUCGGUUUUCAGUUGCAAAUUCCCUUCCUGGAAGUGGGAUUGGUUGGUAUUGGGGAAUCAGAAGGCCCCGGUGAAUAGGUUCCCGGCCCUUGUACCCACCGCCCGUCCCACCAUGGGAGUUGGUAACCCCCGAAGUGGGUGGGUUAACCUUUGGGAGCCAGCCGUCCUAUAGGAGUGACUGAUGAUGGGGGAAAGUAAUACUCAAGAAAAAUCCC